GACAGAGGGGGCAAGCGUUGCUCGGAAUCACUGGGCGUAAAGGGCGCGUAGGCGGGAUGGCAAGUCAGUCGUGAAAUCUCUCGGCUCAACCGAGAAACGUCGGCUGAUACUGCCGUUCUUGAGGGAUGCAGAGGAGACUGGAAUUCCCGGUGUAGCGGUGAAAUGUGUAGAGAUCGGGAGGAACACCGAUGGCGAAGGCAGGUCUCUGGGCUGACACUGACGCUCAUGCACGAAAGCGUGGGGAGCAAACAGG
rnacentral:rRNA from 1 species